rnacentral:rRNA from 1 species
UACGGAGGGUGCGAGCGUUGUCCGGAUUUAUUGGGUUUAAAGGGUGCGUAGGCGGCCCGUUAAGUCCGGGGUGAAAGCCCGUUGCUCAACAACGGAACUGCCCUGGAUACUGACGGGCUUGAGUACAGACGAGGUUGGCGGAAUGGACCGAGUAGCGGUGAAAUGCAUAGAUACGGUCCAGAACCCCGAUUGCGAAGGCAGUUGACUAGGCUGUUACUGACGCUGAGGCACGACAGCGUGGGGAGCGAACAGG